CUCUUUAAGGAUAAAGUAACAGAAAUGUGAGGAGGCUGCCUGCCCACAAACAAAGCUGCCACAGCCCUGCCAGAGGCCUGACCAGACAACCCCAGAAAGAACCCCCUUCCUUCCUUCGAGAGAGUUCUGCAGGUUACUGCAGAGGGCUCUGUUUAAAGUCCAGCUCCACAGUGAGGGCCUAUCAGACUAGUAAGUCACGAGUGACCAUGAGUCCUGGCUUCAGCUCCCAGUGGAACAGCAGCCAACCUGCGUGGAAUGCAUACUCCUUUCCAAGAGCAAGCUUGCACUACCAGUCCCAUGCCAGCUAUACCUAUUGCACUGGACACCCUGCCGUAAGUACCCCAUGUUUCUAUAAUUGGUAAAUCA
rnacentral:lncRNA from 1 species